AGAUGAUGAGUGUGGAUACGCACCUGUGGAUGGAGGAACUGAACAGGAGGUCGAAGAAAACGGUGGAUCUGGCCAGGGAUGCAGCGAAGCAAAGCAAG
rnacentral:SRP_RNA from 1 species